rnacentral:rRNA from 1 species
UACGUAGGUGGCAAGCGUUGUCCGGAUUUACUGGGCGUAAAGAGCGCGCAGGCGGUCGUUUAAGUCGAAUGUGAAAGCCCCUGGCUCAACUGGGGAGGGUCAUUCGAUACUGAUCGACUUGAAGGCAGGAGAGGGAAGUGGAAUUCCGGGUGUAGUGGUGAAAUGCGUAGAUAUCCGGAGGAACACCAGUGGCGAAGGCGACUUCCUGGCCUGUUCUUGACGCUGAGGCGCGAAAGCUGGGGGAGCAAACGGG